UACGGAGGGUGCAAGCGUUGUUCGGAAUCACUGGGCGUAAAGGGCGUGUAGGCGGUCUGUUAAGUCUGAUGUGAAAGCCCGGGGCUCACCCCUGGAAGUGCAUUGGAUACUGGCGGACUCGAGUCUCGGAGAGGAGGGUGGAAUUCCUGGUGUAGCGGUGAAAUGCGUAGAUAUCAGGAGGAACACCGGUGGCGAAGGCGGCCCUCUGGACGAUGACUGACGCUGAGACGCGAAAGCGUGGGGAGCAAACAGG
rnacentral:rRNA from 1 species